GGCACACAGCAGAAGGACGUCACCAUCAAGUCAGAUGCGCCUGACACCCUGCUGCUCGAGAAGCAUGCUGAUUAUAUCGCCUCGUACGGCUCAAAGAAAGAUGAUUAUGAAUACUGCAUGUCCGAAUACUUGAGAAUGAGCGGCGUCUACUGGGGCCUGACAGUGAUGGACCUCAUGGGGCAGCUUCAUCGGAUGAAUAAAGAGGAGAUACUGGUGUUUAUCAAGUCGUGCCAGCAUGAGUUGUGGGGGAGUCAGUGCCAGCAUCGGGCACGACCCCCACCUUCUCUACACGCUCAGUGCUGUCCAGAUUCUCACUCUGUAUGAUAGCAUCCAUGUAAUCAACGUAGACAAAGUGGUAGCCUAUGUUCAGAGUCUACAGAAAGAAGAUGGUUCCUUUGCUGGAGACAUCUGGGGAGAAAUCGAUACAAGAUUCUCAUUUUGUGCAGUGGCAACUUUGGCUCUCUUGGGCAAACUUGAUGCUAUUAAUGUGGAAAAGGCCAUUGAAUUUGUUUUGUCCUGUAUGAACUUUGAUGGUGGAUUUGGGUGCAGACCAGGCUCUGAAUCUCACGCCGGACAGGAUUCCUGGCCAUAACUAGUCAGUUGCAUCAAGUGAACUCCGACCUACUUGGUUGGUGGCUUUGUGAACGACAGUUGCCCUCUGGCGGACUCAAUGGAAGACCCGAGAAGUUACCAGAUGUGUGCUAUUCCUGGUGGGUGUUGGCCUCCUUAAAGAUAAUCGGGAGACUUCAUUGGAUUGACAGAGAAAAGCUUCGAAGCUUCAUCUUGGCAUGUCAAGAUGAAGAGACAGGAGGGUUUGCAGACAGGCCAGGAGACAUGGUGGAUCCCUUUCACACCUUGUUUGGCAUUGCUGGAUUGUCACUUCUGGGGGAAGAGCAGAUCAAGCCUGUCAGCCCUGUCUUUUGCAUGC
rnacentral:lncRNA from 1 species